CUUCAGCCUCCCAAAGUGCUGGGAUUACAGGCAUGAGCCACUGUGCUUGGCCUCAAUAAAUAAUUGAAUCAAAAAAUAUUCUUGGUAUUAAUACAUGAUUUAAAAAACAAUUCAGAUUGGUCUUUCCACAUGAAUUUUUACCAUAUCCUCAGGGGAAACACUUGCAGUAAUAAAAUUGUCAAAUGUUACCAUUAUUGCUGGGAUUCUAAGAAAUCUCUACAAAUGCCUCUGAUGACAUCAGAAACAAUCGGUUCUAAUCCUGUGAACUCUCUUGUGAAGAAAGCAUGAGACUCCUUCGGUUUAGAAGCCAUAUCUUUCAGGUCAUCCAGAGGUGCCCAAGCCACACCAACAGAGAAGAUAGUGAUUCCUACAAUGGAAACAUUUUAAAGUGAAUAAAAACCAGGUCUAUCUAAUA